GGCCCGGUAGCUCAGUCGGUAGAGCAGAGGAUUGAAAAUCCUUGUGUCGGUGGUUCGAUUCCGCCCCGGGCCA
rfam:Castellaniella defragrans 65Phen complete genome